UACGUAGGGUGCAAGCGUUAUCCGGAAUCACUGGGCGUAAAGCGUGCGUAGGCGGCGUGUUAAGUGUGAUGUUAAAUCGUGUGGCUCAACCAUAUCGAUGCAUCACAUACUGGCAUGCUAGAGGAAGGCAGAGGCAAGUGGAAUUUGUAGUGUAGCAGUGAAAUGCGUAGAUAUUACAAGGAACACCAAUGGCGAAGGCAGCUUGCUGGGCCUUGUCUGACGCUGAGGUACGAAAGCGUGGGGAGCGAACAGG
rnacentral:rRNA from 1 species